CAGCACUUAGUACACGCCUGGCACAUAGUAAGCACUUAACAAAUACUGUUAAGGAAAAAACCAGGGAGAGGCAGCUCUGGGCCGAAACAUCUCAGACAUCUCUGAGCCAGGGGAGGGAGAGAGGUGGCUGUGAAACUCCCACCCUAGGGAGAGCUUGGUCAACCCUCCUGACUUCUCCCUCCGUAUAUGACGUGGGGGUGCCAGGGGAGCCCAUUUUCCGGUUGGGGAAUGGGGAAGUGUAAGCUAGAGCUUCCUCUUUCUUAGCUUGCGAGCCCCUCUUCCCCACCCCUGUGGGACGGGAACCGUGUCCAAUUCCUACCUGGGUAGUCUCUCGCAGUGGUGAGUACAGUGCUUUGCACACAGGAAGGUGAGAUCACAACCCAACAGCCCCCUCCCCGGACCAAGACAGAAGUAGCCACUGUUCCCUCAGGGUCCUUGGGAUGGUAACUUCUAGACCAGGAUUGUCUCAAGGGCCGUUGAAUCAGCCCGUGUGAACGGGGCAUUGUACUUGCAAGAAAUUGUCCACCUCUGCUGCCCUGCUGUAUGCUAUGUCUGCUUGGACCGGGAACCCCACGUGGAACGAGGCCGGCGUCCAACCUCUCUUCUGUCUUCCUCGAUGCUCACUACAGGGCCGGGCGUGACGUAAAGGCUUAAAGACCACAACGGGGGAUGUUCCACUUUUCCGGAAACUGGUCCAUACUGAGGGUUUCCUGCCACGACGUUUGCCGUCCAAUAUGCCGAUCUGGUUUAUCUCCUGGCUGAGGGAGGUCUGCUUUCUUCCAUUUCUUCCCCAUCCGUGUGCCUGGAGCCGUAUUGGCAACCUGGCCGAUCGGUGUUAGGGAGCGUCCUCUCAGUCGAUCAGGCCCCUCCACUCCAAAUGGUUGCAUUUUUCUUUCUAGUUCUGCUGCAUCGUUGGCACAUCCAGCAUGGGCUCCGGAGACGAGGAGGCGCGUCCAGUCAUCGAGCUGGUUGGAAAUCAUCUCGGCGAGAGCGGGUCACUCUGCUUGGCUCCUGGGCGUGGGUUCGUUCCGUUAGGUCUCCUCCGGGAGGACUGUGGACGUCGAGUCAAUCGCUGUUUUGUUGAGCGAUUGAAAGCCCUGCUGAAUUUCACUGGAUCGAACGGUUUCACGCCAAUCGAUAAACAGAAAGCCAACGGG